UAAAGAUUCAUCGCUGAUAGAUAGGCAUGCGUUCCAUUAGGCAGUUGGCGGGGUAACGGCCCACCAAACCGACGAUGGAUAGGGGUUCUGAGAGGAAGGUCCCCCACAUUGGUACUGAGACACGGACCAAACUCCUACGGGAGGCAGCAGUGAGGAAUAUUGGUCAAUGGGCGCGAGCCUGAACCAGCCAAGUCGCGUGAGGGAUGAAGGUUCUAUGGAUCGUAAACCUCUUUUAUAAGGGAAUAAAGUGUGGGACGUGUCCUAUUUUGUAUGUACCUUAUGAAUAAGGAUCGGCUAACUCCGUGCCAGCAGCCGCGGUAAUACGGAGGAUCCGAGCGUUAUCCGGAUUUAUUGGGUUUAAAGGGUGCGUAGGCGGCCUUUUAAGUCAGCGGUGAAAGUCUGUGGCUCAACCAUAGAAUUGCCGUUGAAACUGGGGGGCUUGAGUAUGUUUGAGGCAGGCGGAAUGCGUGGUGUAGCGGUGAAAUGCUUAGAUAUCACGCAGAACCCCGAUUGCGAAGGCAGCCUGCCAAGCCAUGACUGACGCUGACGCACGAAAGCGUGGGGAUCAAACAGGAUUAGAUACCCUGGUAGUCCACGCAGUAAACGAUGAUCACUAGCUGUUUGCGAUACAGUGUAA
rnacentral:rRNA from 1 species